AGGAAGGAAGGAGAGAAGGAUGAGAGGGAGUGACCACAUUGGGUAUCAGACACUGCAGUAAUAACCACAGCCACUGUCAUCAGCGUAGGUUUUGCUAUGCUGUACCAGUGUUUGUCAGGGACACCCCACUGACCCUGUGUGCAUUCUGGCUUAGUCUUUCCCAGAACCCUGUAAGACUGAUUUUCAAAUCCCUCACCGGUCAAACCCCUCACUCCAGCUGUGAAUGUCAGUCAUCCCAGACACCCUUCCAAAUGCGACGAGCAUCACUCACCCGAGUCCUGGGCUCUCCUCACCUGUCCAGUCUAAAGAGCAAAUGGGAUGUGUGUCACCGACAGAUCACCUCCUAAUAGAAUCCGGUUAUACUGGAGAAAUUGUGAAAUACAACAGCAUUAAUGAUUAAACUGCAUUCAGCUGUUGCCACAAACGUCUCUGAUGCCCAUCUUGAUAAGCUUAAUGGCUAGCUAUCUGUGGGUAACUGG
rnacentral:lncRNA from 1 species